rnacentral:rRNA from 1 species
GAGGAGUAUUGCAUAGGUGGGACCUUAUAAUAGAUCUUAUAAGAGAAAUUUAUGUUUUUGGUCUCUCAAGUUCCCAAAAUUACAGACUUGGUCCCUCAAGAUUUUUUGGUAGACAUUUGGUCCUUCAAGUCUCAAAACCGGAUAAGUCUGGUCCAAAAAUUCCAGAUUCUUUUGAAUUUCUUUUCUAAUUUUUGGAUUUACUGUUCAUUAGUCACACCUGUUCAACACUAGUCAAAAUCUGGUUUUGGUGUACCAAAAAAACUUUAGAGACCAAGUCUAUACUUUUGAGAAAUUUGAGGGACCAAAACAUACUUUUCUCUUUUCAUAAUUAAGCGAGCUGCUUGUAUUCUGUGACAACGUGCAGCUGAACAUCUUACAAAAUGCAGUGGUGACUUGGUCAAACAUUUGCUAUACUGAAUUAUUUGGGGGUGGACAGAGUUGUUGCUGUAAUAUAUGUGGAAGGUUGAGAGACGCUAUAUCUGUAGUUCUCUGCUGGACGUGUAUCGAGAGGGAAUGGGCCUCAAAUGUCGUUGUCCGUCAUUGUUUCAAUCGGUCUCUUCAUUGAUAUCUAUCUAUCUAUACGUAUUUCCGCUCAAAAAAAAAUCUAUCUAUAUGUAUCUUUUACGAGUCCCUAUAAAUUUAUAUGUUAAUUACAAAUUAGGGACCAUUAAUCUAGUAGGACCGAGUUAUUACGGUGUAAAUUAACCCACACAAUUCUAGGCUGAAAUUUAUGAUCAAGCUUGGAUUACAUUAAAGGUUUUUAGGCCAAAAUUGACGGGAAGGCCCAAAAACAUUUAGAGACGCAAAAGAUGAAGUAGAAAGCCCAUAAUGUUUCCAUGGUUGUAGAAAUAGAAGCCGAAGGAGAUGAGAUCAACUUAAUAACGGUUGCGAAGCGCUCCGCGCGAUAAGUGUCGUGCACGGAGUGACCACGCGGGCAAAAACCAGCCAAUGCGGUUCAUUCCUAGUUUUCAUAAAUAUUUUGAAGGGGUGGCAUAGGUUAAAGUAUGUGUUGGUCGUGCAAUGUGUUUGGUCGAGGGCUCUCCCAAGCGCAUUCACUGCGGAGGCGAACCCGAUGAGCAGGCAAUACCGAAUUCCAUAGCCAGCGACGACAUGCUCGCUGAGCUAAACUAGCAGAAGGAGUUGAACGCCGGCUUGGUGAAGCUGCUGGAGGAAAACGAUGCCUGGGUUUUGACGGCGACCGGUCUCAUCGUGCAACCUAUGGGUGACAACACGAAGCUCUACAACGAGUAGGACAAGCAGAAGGAAGAGGUCGUGAUAUAUCUCAAACGUAUCUAUAAUUUUUGAUUGUUUUUAUGCUAUUAUAUUAUCAAUCUCGGAUGUUUUAUAUGUAUUUUAUGCUAUUUUAUAUCAUAUUUUGGAACUAACCUAGUAACCUAGUGCCCAGUGCCAGUUCCUGUGUUUUUGCUUGUUUUUGGCUUUUCAGAAAAAACAGUAUCAAACAAAGUCUAAACGGGAUGAAACUUUAUGAUAAUUUUUUCUAGACCAAAUGGGACCAUGGAAGGUUCGGGAGACCUAUGGGAGAGCAACGAGCUCACAGGGCGCACCCCCCUGAGCUCGUGGGCCCCAUGUAGCUCUGUUUGAUUGAAUUCCACCAAAGCCAAUAGAGAGCCACCCGAAACACUUUUUCCGCCACCGCCAGCUUCUAUUCUUCUGCGAUCCCAUUUGGAGGCCUUCUCCAGUACUCUGCCGGAGGGGGAAUCGAUUAUGGAGGGCUUCUACAUCAUCUGAAUUUACUUCAGGAUUUCUGUCGAUGCACAUUCAGCGGGAGGAGACGUUCCAGCGACUACGAGACCCCUGUGAUGACUUCGUCAAUCUCAAGAUGAUAUGCCGGCUCAGCUUCUCGGACAUGCUCAUAAGGGUAGGGUGUGUGUGUGCGUUCAUAAGGACGAGUGUAUGCACGUACACAUGAGCACCUGCAUCUAUUUUUUUUCGAAAAGGGGAUCUCCCCGGCCUCUGCAUCAGAGCGAUGCAUACGACCAUCUUUUUAAACCAGAUAAAUAAGUUCCAACAAGGUCUCAAAGUCUCCAACUGGAAAAAGUAAAAAAAAAAAAGCUCACACAGAGCCAGAAUGGACUAGAAACACAAACUAGCCAAAUAAAGGACGCCACAACCGGCUGGCUAAAGAGAGAUAGCUAAACUAAUUGUUUAUCCUAAUACAUGACCGCCAUCUAAACCGGUUGAAGAUAAGAGCGCCUGCAUCUAUACUGUCCUAAAAAACACAUGAGAAUCCAAUAUUUUCUCAAAACGCAAAAAUAAAUCCAAUAUUUCUCAAAAAGGAAAAAGGAAGAAAAAACUAGUUUGCCCACCAUGAAACGUAUUUCAUGAUGACCCGUGAGCCAGAAACCAAAACGUAGCCCCACUGCUCAGAGUACGUAAUCUAGUCCAUCUCUUCUUCCUCCUUGUCUGUCGGCUGCCGGCCGGCCCCCACGCCCUCUCUCCUCCUCCGUAAACCAAUGAAAAAAACCAACUAAGUUGGCUCUUGCCUCCUUCCUGUCGGCGUCCCAGUCACCUAUUCUCCGCAGUCUCCACCAAGGCGGCUCCCAGUCUCUCCAGAACCACCGGCUAUUAGCAUCCUUUAGGCCAGGCUAGUUAUCUAGAUUUCUAUGCGGCCUAGAUAAAUCAAAAUUUAAUGAGAAUCGUCGAUGCUAUGUGCCAGAUUUGUGCGACCCCCAUUACUCUUUGUGUCUCUUGCCAUGAUUUUCUAUAUCAGAGCAAAUCGCUUGUGCUGUAAAAUGCAUUAAUUGGCCCGUAUAGCC